UGUGUGUGUGUGUGUGUGUGUGUGUGUGUGUGUGUGUCAUAAUUACUGACAUUAUUAAUACAAACGCUUUAAUCUUAGAGCAGCUUUUUUACUCCUUAAUAUAAAGUUUGAUAGUUUAGUCCAGAGGUUCUCAACCUAAGGGUCGGCCCCCUCCAAAGGUCACCAGCAGGGGGAGACACCUCCUAAUGAACACGUGGUGAUCAGAGAUCUGACCCUAACAUACCAGCAGACUGGAGAAGAUGAGUGGUUUUAAAGAUGAGGAAGAGGAC